ensembl:lncRNA
AUGGGCACAAGGACCAAAGACAAGAAUUGCUUUAAUAUUUGUUGUGUUUUAGUGUGUUGAUACUUCAUAAGACUUAUUUUGAGUACUUGUACAGACCAGUUACUUAUUUUUUUAUUUAUUUUAUUCUUUCUUGGUCUAUUUUUGACUCUACAGGGUGGGAUAGUGACAUCUCAGCCUUACUGUUGCUGCUGUAUCUCCUGCCCCCAACUCCAAAGGGCCACAAGAAGGCAGUAAAGAUCAGCCCCCUUCAGGCAGCUGACCAUGAGGUGCGAUUUCUUAGGCAUAUCAGACCCGAACCAGACUAAUUAAAGAUUCGAUCGGGAGCAUGGUUGAAACAUGAGACGAAUUCCACAGAAAGGCAACAGGAUGUUGUAAAUCAACUCCUAGCACCACAGUCUGAAGCAAGAUAACCAACCAACUCUUUCACAGAACAGCUUUCAACAUUAACACAAUUAGAACAAUUAUUGACAAUUUCAAUUCGGAAAAGAGAUUGUCAAAUUUGGGGCAAGUAAUCCAGAUUGAUGGUCAAAGAGAUGCACAGCCUGACCAUCACAUGUAAACCCAUGAUGGUAAUCAUGAUCACAAGAUCCUUGGAUUGACUUACCCCACCUAGAAGACAAGAAGCAGACUGAAAUUCCUUUAAGGGGACCUUUUAACCUCUGGUCUCCACAGAACGUCCUUAUGUCUUUUACAGAUGGAGAUGCACCAAAAUGAACUAAAAAAAAGACUUAUAAAGGAAUAUCAGUCCAUUGCUUAACUCCAUAUCAUAUAUGAAACCCACACAUUUGACUAUCAUGUUUCUAAUCACUUAUUGUGUAUGUCUUUUUAAUAACUAUUGAAUAGCUUAAGGUUUCAUAUUCAUGUUUAGUAUGUGUGUGUUUGAAUCUUCUAGCUUGAAACAUUUCUGACCAUCAGUUAUUUGAUUAAAUGUAUCAUAUUCUUGUUAUAGGAAUCAUGUCCAAAAUUCUGACCACGUGAUUGAUAAGAUAACAUGAUUUAUGAAUGGGCAAGAAAAACAUUGCAACACCCCGAGCAAAGGCAAUAUCUAAUUGGUCAAGACAACAUUUGAGGUGUGGCCGAAAGGCCAGUUUUUAUAUACUCAGGACACAAUCAAAUUUUGGAUUUUAGCUUUUGCUUUUUAGCUUUUGCUUUUAGUCAUGCCAGCUCUUAGCUGCUGCUUUUAGUCAUCACUCUUUGCGUUCUUUGAGCACUGUUCCAGCAUGCUUCGGCCUGCACGCCUGCUGCUACUUAGCCACGAUGAGAAGAAACACCAACUAGUCUCGUCAAACUUUACUUCUAUUCUUU